rnacentral:rRNA from 1 species
GACGUAGGGCGCGAGCGUUGUCCGGAUUUAUUGGGCGUAAAGAGCUCGUAGGCGGUUUGGCAAGUCGGGUGUGAAAACUCCGGGCUCAACUCGGAGACGCCACUCGAUACUGCUAUGACUCGAGUCCGGUAGGGGAGUGCGGAAUUCCUGGUGUAGCGGUGAAAUGCGCAGAUAUCAGGAGGAACACCGGUGGCGAAGGCGGCACUCUGGGCCGGUACUGACGCUGAGGAGCGAAAGCGUGGGGAGCGAACAGG